GACGGAGGGUGCAAGCGUUAAUCGGAAUUACUUGGCGUGAAGCGCGCGUAGGCGGUUUUUUAAGUCGGAUGUGAAAGCCCCGGGCUCAACCUGGGAACUGCAUCCGAUACUGGAAGACUAGAAUGCGGGAGAGGGAGGUAGAAUUCCAUGUGUAGCAGUGAAAUGCGUAGAUAUAUGGAGGAAUACCAGUGGCGAAGGCGGCCUCCUGGCUCGACAUUGACGCUGAGGUGCGAAAGCGUGGGGAGCAAACGGG
rnacentral:rRNA from 1 species